CAGGUUUAUAGUGUUUAUUUAUUUAUUUUAAAUAUGACUUUUACACUGAAAAUAAUUUUUUUGACCUCCAGUCAAAUUUAAACAUGCAUUACAAAAUGCAUUUACUUUUAUAAAGUACUGUAUAAAAAACACAAGCUUUUCAAAAACAUUUAUGCUUUUAAAAACAAAAUCCCCAGACAAUUGUUUGGACAAUUUUAUUCAGUGGACAAAAUACACAGUAUAUACUGUACUUACAGUACAUAAAAAGAAAACAAUUGAUAAGUUACAACAGGUUCUUUCAAAUAUAUCCACUCUUGCACUCAUACUAACACAGCAGGUAAAACAAGGUCUUUACAACUAAGGGGUGUUUGUGUGUGACAUGCAGCAUGAUCUACAUUGCACGCUCUAGGAAUGUUUCAUUUCGGAUGUCUGUAUGCACUUUAUCCCCCAAGUCAAUUCUCAAAUUAAUCAUUUCAAAUUACCAAUUGCACAGGGCCGUGAUAAAAUUCACAGAGCUCAGGUCAAAAUGUUACUCGGUGGUUUCCCCAAAAGUGUAUCUUGCUAAGCUAACUGCUCUACACAACAAAUAGGUAAAAUAAAAUUAGAAAAAACAAUGCAAACCCCCCCUUUAUGAAGCCUGUAUUUAUAAUACAUUAUGAGGAUAUCUAUUAUUCACAUUCAGAGUUUAAGAAAAUGCCUGUGCAUCUUCUUGAAGAAUAUCCUGAGUCGAUUGACUUAAUGGAGAUGAUAGAGUUUCUUUCAGAUACUGUGAAGGAAAGGCAUUCAGAUUAACUUUUUUUUAUUCUUCUUUACAAAUUUUGAGUAAUAAAUCUAAUGCAUAAACCCUGUGAGAUUUAGUUUCAGGAUCAUGAAUAAUGCUGCUUUUAUUGUUAGAUAAGCAUCAUUUUAUUCUCAGUUUAAGUGAUGUGUUUGGUCAUAUGAAUACUUACACACUGUCUCAUCCAGUCCUGGACUGCAUUUCUCUGGACUUCGGUUUGGAUCGAAAAUCUCUGUGUGGAAAUUGUUGAUUACAAAAAUAUUACCGAAUGCAUUCUAUUAGUAGGAUGAAGGACUUAAGACAUUGUUUAUUUCUAUU
ensembl:lncRNA